UAUACAAAUAAAAUUUGAUUGAUUGAUUGAUUGAUUGAUUGAUUGAUUGAUUGAUUGAUUCCUCCCAUUUCCGUCUAACUCAGGGUGUUAAACUCCAGGCCUCCAGUCGCUGUCCUGCAGGUUUUAGAUGAGCCUCAGGUUCUGCAGCAGAGGCUCAUCUAAACGUUGCAGGUCAGCGGCCCUCCAGGCCUGGAGUUUGACAUCUCAUACCAAACUGGAACCUGAUCAAGAAUCCUGUGGAAUGGAUUUCAGCACCGGAUUCAUGAAGUUCUCCACAUGGAGCAUUAAAUCAGAAAAAGGAGUGACCGUGGGUCUGUUUGGUUCAUCAUGUACUGUGGAACCACCACUCAUGUUAACGGGUCAAACAAAGCAAAACUUUUACAGAAUUAAUCUUCUCACUGCAGCUCCUCCAGAGUCACCAUGGGCCUCCUGUCUGCGCUCCUUGUUGAUGGUUUUGGUUAGCGGCCAUGUUUUGUGCUCUGGGUUAGUUUGUCCAGAUCAGCCCUCCAGGACUUCCUCGUCUCUGUUGGACCCAAUGGUCACUGAGUCGUCAUCCAGAUCCUCUUCUGCCUCCACAUCUUUCCCAGCAUCCUAGUUGCUCUCUGGGGCCUCAGCACCAUGAUUCCUUAUUGAAUCCCACUCCCUCAGAUCUGCAGCCCCUGUUCCCUUUGACCUCCAUGUGACCUGAGGUUUUUCAGUUCGGUCUUCCCUCCCACCUGAGCUUACCUUGAUCAUUGCGACUGUGUGGACAGGUUCUUGUGCCUGUGAGUCGUCAAUGAAAGGUUUUUAAAACUUCCUGUAAAUAAUGAGACGUCUGAUUAAAAUGAAAGCAUCUUCAGUAUUAGAAUGAGUUCAGGGUUGCAUCUUGCCUGAAAUGUUUCUAUAGUAAGACAGUUUUCAUUCUGGUGUCCGUCAGAAUAAAGCUUCCACUCGGACCAGCCUGUAUUUGCUGCCCUCUUGGCCAGAACGGACUCUUUAAGAGGGCCAACUGGAGGGAAAACACAGUCUUCAGUGACAUCACUCUGUGGGAUAUGACCCCUUGUUAUGGGGAAGUGGAAUGUGUCACCAUGGUAACCACUGUCCCACUGUGGGAACUGUAAAAUAUCCAUGAUGUUUCGCUUGAUUCUUUGAUGACUCUAGAUGUGAAACGAUGAAUGAUCAACUAGCAGCAACUGAAAGGAUAACUGUUGAUCUUCAUGUGAGUCUGAAUGAGGAGAAAAGCUUGAAGUUUGAAUUCAGACCGGAUGUCAGGCGUGACGGGACACAUGGACAGGAAGACAUGGACAGCAGAGAGGACACAUGGACAGGAAGACAUGGACAGCAGAGAGGACACAUGGACAGGAAGACAUGGACAGCAGAGAGGACACAUCCAGCUGUGGGACGAGGACAGCAGCCGUCUCUUCUCUCUGUAUUUUUAUCAGUUUAUUUCAAUCCCACAGCAACACAUGCUGGAUCUAUUGUGUAAUGCUCUACAUAGAUCUGCUCUACAUGGAGACAUAAGUUAUAUUUACUGAAGCUCAGGCCUGGACUGUGUCAUUUGUAUAAUCGGUGCUGGAGAAAGUAUUUGCCCCCUUACAGAUUUCACACUCUCACAAAUAAAUUUUUCAGACCAUCAGACAAAUAUUAAGAUUAUGAAAACAUGAUGAACUUUAUUACGGCUUCUUCUUGAUAACUGUUUCUUCCACCAGUGUUUGUUACUGCCAAUAAAGCUUUUACUGAUAUGGAGGAAUGUAAA